rnacentral:rRNA from 1 species
UACGUAGGGUGCGAGCGUUAAUCGGAAUUACUGGGCGUAAAGCGUGCGCAGGCGGCUAUGCAAGACAGAUGUGAAAUCCCCGGGCUCAACCUGGGAACUGCAUUUGUGACUGCAUGGCUAGAGUACGGUAGAGGGGGAUGGAAUUCCGCGUGUAGCAGGUGAAAUGCGUAGAUAUGCGGAGGAACACCGAUGGCGAAGGCAAUCCCCUGGACCUGUACUGACGCUCAUGCACGAAAGCGUGGGGAGCAACAGG